rnacentral:misc_RNA from 1 species
GAUGAAGAACGCAGCGAAAUGCGAUACGUAAUGUGAAUUGCAGAAUUCAGUGAAUCAUCGAAUCUUUGAACGCAUAUUGCGCUCUCUGGUAUUCCGGAGAGCAUGCUUGUUUGAGUAUCAGUAAACACCUCAACUUCCAUAUCUUUUUUGAAAUGGGAGUUAGACUUGAGUGAUCCCAACGCUUUUCCUCACCGAAAAGUGGCGGGUUACUUGAAAUGCAGGUGCAGCUGGACUUUUCUCUGAGCUAUAAGCAUAUCUAUUUAGUCUGCCUAAAAAACAGAUUAUUACCUUUGCUGCAGCUAACAUAAAGGAGAUUAGUUCUUGUGCUGACUGAUGCAGGAUUCACAAAGACGGCUUCGGCCGACUUUGUAAACUCGAUCUCAAAUCAAGUAAGACUACCCGCUGAACUUAAGCAUAUCAAUAAGCGGAGGA